rnacentral:rRNA from 1 species
ACCGGACUCCUACGGGAGGCAGCAGUGAGGAAUAUUGGUCAAUGGGCGAGAGCCUGAACCAGCCAAGUCGCGUGAGGGAGUACUGCCCUAUGGGUUGUAAACCUCUUUUGUCGGGGAGCAAAAGCCGGACGUGUCCGGCUGUGAGAGUACCCGAAGAAAAAGCAUCGGCUAACUCCGUGCCAGCAGCCGCGGUAAUACGGAGGAUGCGAGCGUUAUCCGGAAUUAUUGGGCGUAAAGAGUACGUAGGUGGUUUUGUAAGCGCGGGGUGAAAGGCAGUGGCUUAACCAUUGUAAGCCUUGCGAACUGCAAGACUUGAGUGCAGGAGAGGAAAGCGGAAUUCCUAGUGUAGCGGUGAAAUGCUUAGAUAUUAGGAGGAACACCAGUGGCGAAGGCGGCUUUCUGGACUGUAACUGACACUGAGGUACGAAAGCGUGGGGAGCAAACAGGAUUAGAUACCCGCGUACG